rnacentral:tRNA from 1 species
GCGAGACUCAGUGAAUCCGGGAUGUUCACUAUGUGUUCACGUGUUCUAAGACUUAAAAUCCUGAGACGGCAACGUCGUGCGGGUUCGAAUCCCGCCGUCCGCACCA